CAGAAAUUUGGUAGAUAAGCUGACAUUUGAAGGGGCAGUAAACAUUAAACAUUUCAGAUGGUGAUUGGGAAUAUCUGAUAUGUCCCCAUUGUGUGUUUCCUGUUGUAGAUAAAUCUGCUUGCAAGGCUCUCGAUGAUAUAUCCAUUUUCAUCAAUUGCUCAAGGGUGUGGUCAGUUGGAGAAGACAUUACUAUGAUUGUUUUUUCAGGUGAUGAAUUGUAACCUUAUAUCAUUUAUUACUUGAAAUUCAAAAUCAUUGGAAACAGUCCGUAAUUACUUUGGAGAGAAUCCUUUAUUAUUUUCUGUCUUGUUCAUGUUCAGCAUAGGAUGUAUAUCAUUAAAACCAUCAUGCUAUAUUAUUGUUCAUGUUCAGCAUAGGAUGUGCUUUAUUAUAUGUUAGACAAUUGCUGCCUAUAUAUUAUU
rnacentral:rRNA from 1 species